CGUAUCAAACCAAACAGACUGCAGUUCUUUGAGUACGAGUCGAUAACUUUCUACUGCCAGGUGGACUCUUAUGAAGACAUUACAUUUCAGCUGAAGGGGAAAACGCCUUCAUGUGGCAGCACAACUCAGAGAAACCAAACAGAAUCAUCCUGUCACCUGAAGAAUGCCUAUGCUAGCGACAGUGGAGAGUUCUGGUGUGAGGCUGGAGGGAAGAGAAGCAACAGCAUCAACGUCAUCAUAAAAGGACGAUGGAACGUCUCUGUGGUCCUGGAGAGUCCUGCUCUUCCAGUGAUGGAGGGAGAAGCUGUGACUCUGAGAUGCAGAAACAAGGUGAACUCCAGCUUGGCGGCUGAUUUCUACAAAGACGGACUCCAUGUCAGCAGCAGCUCCUCAGGAAAGAUGGACAUCCACAGAGUUUCCAAGUCUGAUGAAGGACUCUACAAAUGCAGCAUCUCAGGAGGUGUAGAAUCAGCAGAGAGUCGGCUGACUGUCAGAGUUCACACACAACGAGCAGAUCACAGCGAGACUCGUCCCUCCUUGGACCACGGCUGCCACAUUUCCAACAUUUACCUCAUCUCCAGGACCGUGAUCACCGCUGUGAUGGUGGUUCUGCUGCUGCUGCUGGUCGGACUUCUUCACUGUGGGAAACUGGGAGCUGCAAAAAAUCCCUCUGAUCCUCCCAGAUGUGAAUGAAAGUGUGAUGAAGAAGAAGAUGGAGUGAAAGAGUGUAAAUAGGUGAUAAUGAAUCAGGUAAUGAGACGUCUGGAGGCUGAUUCUCACAUUUCAUCCACCAUCAUGUCGUCUGCAUCUCUGUUUAUUUACAAGCUGUUUUUCUGAAGCAGCUGCUGUUAAACUCUGAACAAAUGAACAUCUUCUGGAGAAUUUUAUCUUCUGCUGUUUAUUUUCUUCUACUUCAAACUUUGACCACAACCUGGACAGACUUUCUGCAGAACCACAACAUCUCUGCUGCUGUUAAUAGACUCUGACUGUUUGUUUCCAUUUCUAUAAACCAGAUGAGAAAAUUCUACGUGAAUACAGACACACUGAUAAAAACAGACUCAUUUUCUCUGAUUUCCUGGUUUUAAUGGCAGUAAAAACAGCUGGACUCUGUUUAACUUGUUGUUAUUUUAAAUGAAGCCUGCAGGGGGCAGAGUAGGACUGAAAUCAGACACAAAGACACAAGAAAAAGAACAAAUCCAGAUGCUGAUCACAUAUUUAGCAGGUUUUCUCCACAUUUCUGUAAAUAUUUUCUCUCACUGAUAAUAAAUGAUGCUGGGAUGAGAUGUGAACUAAUAUUAAAACCAGGAGCAGUUUUCCAUGAAUUCUAGAUGGAACCAGAAGAACAACAAGCUGCCACUGCUGCACAUGGACUCACUUCUGAACUCUCACAUUCAUCAUUUCACUUUUUCUGGGCUUCUGUGGAGAAAUCAGUCCAGCAGAUCUUCCAGAAUGAACUAUUUGCUAGUGAAGUUGUUGCACGUCAUUAUAGCUGUGAAUUACAAGCAGCAGUUUGUGGAUAGUUUUUGGUCCCGUCAUGUUUUUCUUCACUGUGGUUCAUGUUUCAGUCUAAAGUCCUGCAGUUCUUUGGAAACAGAACAACAUGAAGGAGGAGAGAAUUCAG
ensembl:lncRNA